UAUCCCCUGCGGUGUUCGUGUCAGCCAUAUAUUCUUUGAACCAAUGCUUUUAGCUAGGCUGCCGACUUCGGAGACUGGUGUUUGCUUUCGUCUGUUGAAAGUGUCUGAAAGUCUCGUCACGCAGCCAUCUUGGACUCAGGUUCAAGAUGAGGCUAAGACGACACAGGCGGGGGACUC
rnacentral:other from 1 species